GGGAAAAAAAUUCCUUAGUCAGGAAUGUAUGUGAGAACUUUACAUUACUCCACCCAUACUUAGGCAUACUUUAGGGGAAGAUAAAGUUGUAAACUCCUGUUGAAACAAUGAGAAAAAGUCCCCAACCCAUACUUAUAGUGAGGCCAAGCCCUUAAGCUAGGUCUAUUUUUAGAUCUAAUACAAAAGGGUGCUAAGUACCUAUGAAGGUUAAAUUAAUCACUAAAAGGUCAAGCAACUUACAAAGGGCAAACAUAGCAAAGAGGUGUGAAGUACUCAGAAGAUAUAAUCUACCCAGAGAAGGUGAGAACUAGAGUGGUGAAAACAAAGAAUGGGCAAUCCUAGGAAAAGCGUCUACUGUGAUUGGUAGAUGUGAAAACUUAGGGGAGGUGACACAAGAGAAAAUUUUCUUUAAAAAGAAGGAGCUUGAGGGCUCUGAAGGGAGUUCAGCUCUGAAAGCUGGAUUGGAUGGUCUCUCUCAACACUGGAGUUUUGCUUGGAACAAUCUUGUGGAAUUAUUGGCUCUGAGUGACAAAGGUGGUUCACUGAGGACUCUGAAGUUUUAUGACAGUUUCAUCAAUACCUUAAAGCUUGAGGUUAUGGAUGAGGUCCUGCACCAGGGUGGUGGCUUUGUGGAUUGAGAAAAUAAGACAUAUAUGACAAGACUUGGCAACAUACUUCCUAUAUGGGGUUUUAGACAUCUAAUCCAAAAGAACAUUCAUGAUACAAGACUAGAACUCAAGAGUUCCUAGGACUGGAUAUAAGAGAUCUAAUAAUCAUCUUCAUAGACAAGGCAAUUGAAUCCAUGUGAACAGAUGAAAUCACCAACUGAGACAAGAUAGAGUGUCUGGAGAAGAAAUGGAAUCUUAAAAAUUAAGAAUUUAAAGGAACCUCAAAAUGAGCUAGUACAAAGGUUCUUAACCUGGAGUCCAUAAAAUUAAAAAAAAUUCUUAUGAUAAUAUUUUAAUGUAAUUGUCCUUUGUAGUCACAUGUAUUUCAUUUUAUGCAUUCCAAAACAUUAUUCUAAGUAGCUCAUACUUCCCCAGAUUGAUAAAAGAGAUCCAUGACACAAAAAUUUAAGAAUCCCUGAUCAUCCAAGAUACCUCUAACCAUUUAGAGAAAUUAGCCAGCAAAACAUGUCAAGGUUUUUAUCAAUUAAAGCAGAAAUUUUCAAAGUGUGGAUAUGCCUUAUUUUUUGAAAGGAAACAAAAUACUCUGGGACUACCAAGAAGUGUGUGCAUGCAUAUACAUGCAUAUGUGUAGUGAAGCAAUAGCCAAAAUUAUUUGAUAUCUUUUGUUACAGUUCUCAAACCAACAUAUGUACCCCUUUCAAUAAAAAUUUGAAAUCAAACA
rnacentral:lncRNA from 1 species